CGGGGUGCAGCAGGCGCGAAACCUCCACAAUUCACGCAAGUGAGAUGGGGUUACCUCGAGUGCUAUCUGAAGAAGGUGGCUUUUCCAUGGUGUAAUGAGCCGUGGGAAUAAGGGGGGGGCAAGACUGGUGUCAGCCGCCGCGGUAACACCAGCCCCCCGAGUGGUGGGGAUGAUUAUUUGGCCUAAAGCGUCCGUAGCCAGCUCGGUAAAUCUCUCGUUAAAUCCAGCGUCCUAAGCGUUGGGCUGCGAGGGAAACUGCCGAACUAGAGGGUGGGAGAGGUCAGCGGUAUUCCUGGGGUAGGGGCGAAAUCCAUUGAUCCCAGGAGGACCACCAGUGGCGAAGGCUGCUGACUAGAACACGCCUGACGGUGAGGGACGAAAGCUGGGGUAGCGAAUCGGAUUAGAUACCCGAGUAGUCCCAGCCGUAAACGAUGCAGGCUAGGUGUUGGGUCGGCCAUGCGCCGCCUCAGUGCCACAGG
rnacentral:rRNA from 1 species